rnacentral:rRNA from 1 species
UAACACGUGGGAACGUGCCCAAAGGUACGGAACAACUCCGGGAAACUGGAGCUAAUACCGUAUGUGCCCGAAAGGGGAAAGAUUUAUCGCCUUUGGAUCGGCCCGCGUCUGAUUAGCUAGUUGGUGAGGUAAUGGCUCACCAAGGCGACGAUCAGUAGCUGGUCUGAGAGGAUGAUCAGCCACACUGGGACUGAGACACGGCCCAGACUCCUACGGGAGGCAGCAGUGGGGAAUAUUGGACAAUGGGCGCAAGCCUGAUCCAGCCAUGCCGCGUGAGUGAUGAAGGCCCUAGGGUUGUAAAGCUCUUUCGGCGGGGACGAUAAUGACGGUACCCGCAGAAGAAGCCCCGGCUAACUUCGUGCCAGCAGCCGCGGUAAUACGAAGGGGGCUAGCGUUGUUCGGAAUCACUGGGCGUAAAGCGUAUGCAGGCGGAUCGUUAAGUCGGGGGUGAAAUCCCGAGGCUCAACCUCGGAACUGCCUUCGAUACUGACGAUCUUGAGUCCGGGAGAGGUGAGUGGAACUCCGAGUGUAGAGGUGAAAUUCGUAGAUAUUCGGAAGAACACCAGUGGCGAAGGCGGCUCACUGGCCCGGUACUGACGCUGAGAUACGAAAGCGUGGGGAGCAAA